ensembl:miRNA oni-mir-10651 oni-mir-10651
UUAAAAACAGGCCCUGGUGACACAGGAGCUGCGGUGCAGCGGUGUGAGCAGGGCUGUGUUUUUGAGC